CAGCAGCCACGGUAAUACAGAGGGUGCGAGCGUUAAUCGGAUUUACUGGGCGUAAAGCGUGCGUAGGCGGCUUCUUAAGUCGGAUGUGAAAUCCCUGAGCUUAACUUAGGAAUUGCAUUCGAUACUGGGAAGCUAGAGUAUGGGUGAGGAUGGUAGAAUUCCAGGUGUAGCGGUGAAAUGCGUAGAGAUCUGGAGGAAUACCGAUGGCGAAGGCAGCCAUCUGGCCUAAUACUGACGCUGAGGUACGAAAGCAUGGGGAGCAAACAGGAUUAGAUACCCGCGUAGUCCCUGUCUCUUAUAC
rnacentral:rRNA from 1 species